CAUCUCUUUAAGAAAAAGAGAAAAAAACACUUUCAACGGUGAACAUAUGUAUAAAACACAACCAAAAAAAAGAAAAUUGUGGUCACACACCAAAGUCUGAGAAGAUACUCAGAAUAGUUACAAAAAUUAAUCAAAGUGGCAAACUUUCAGACACAAACACAAUCUGUUAACUAAGCAGAGUCAACUCAUACCACAAACCCUAUAAUCACUAACAAAAAUUUCAAAAAAAAGACAAAG
rnacentral:misc_RNA from 1 species